CAAUAACGGGUUCAUCACGCGUAGUGUCCGGGCGGUGAUGGUAAACCGUUCUGCUCAGGUUCAGAGUCCGGCAGGCCUGAUGGAUACUGAACCCGAAUAUCGUUAUCAGAUUAGUGGCAGCUCACGCUUAAGGGCUGAUUUU
rnacentral:sRNA from 1 species